ACGCUGACAGAAUGCUUAACACAUGCAAGUCUACUUGAACUUCGGUUUGGGUGGCGGACGGGUGAGUAACGCGUAAAGAACUUGCCUCACAGUUAGGGACAACAUUUGGAAACGAAUGCUAAUACCUGAUAUUAUGAUUCUAGGGCAUCCUAAGAUUAUGAAAGUUAUAUGCGCUGUGAGAGAGCUUUGCGUCCCAUUAGCUAGUUGGAGAGGUAACGGCUCACCAAGGCGAUGAUGGGUAGCCGGCCUGAGAGGGUGAACGGCCACAAGGGGACUGAGACACGGCCCUUACUCCUACGGGAGGCAGCAGUGAGGAAUAUUGGACAAUGGACCAAAAGUCUGAUCCAGCAAUUCUGUGUGCACGAUGACGUUUUUCGGAAUGUAAAGUGCUUUCAGUUGGGAAGAAAAAAAUGACGGUACCAACAGAAGAAGUGACGGCUAAAUACGUGCCAGCAGCCGCGGUAAUACGUAUGUCACAAGCGUUAUCCGGAUUUAUUGGGCGUAAAGCGCGUCUAGGUGGUUAUGUAAGUCUGAUGUGAAAAUGCAGGGCUCAACUCUGCAUUGCGUUGGAAACUGCAUGACUAGAGUACUGGAGAGGUAAGCAGAACUACAAGUGUAGAGGUGAAAUUCGUAGAUAUUUGUAGGAAUGCCGAUGGGGAAGCCAGCUUACUGGACAGAUACUGACGCUAAAGCGCGAAAGCGUGGGUAGCAAACAGGAUUAGAUACCCUGGUAGUCCACGCUGUAAACGAUGAUUACUAGGUGUGGGGGGUCGAACCUCAGCGCCCAAGCUAACGCGAUAAGUAAUCCGCCUGGGGAGUACGUACGCAAGUAUGAAACUCAAAGGAAUUGACGGGGACCCGCACAAGCGGUGGAGCAUGUGGUUUAAUUCGACGCAACGCGAGGAAA
rnacentral:rRNA from 1 species